AACGAACGCUGGCGGCAGGCUUAACACAUGCAAGUCGAACGGGCGUAGCAAUACGUCAGUGGCGGACGGGUGAGUAACACGUGGGAAUAUGCCUUUCGGUUCGGAACAACUCGGGGAAACCCGGUGCUAAUUCCGGAUACGCCCUUACGGGGAAAGGAUUUAUCGCCGAAGAUUAGCCCGCGUUGGAUUAGCUAGUUGGUGAGGUAAAGGACUCACCAAGGCGACGAUCCAUAGCUGGUUUGAGAGAACGACCAGCCACACU
rnacentral:rRNA from 1 species